CGGGUGAGUAACGCGUGAGGAACCUGCUCGAAGAGGGGAGAACAGUUGGAAACGACUGCUAAUACCGCAUAAGCCCACGGCUCGGCAUCGAGCAGAGGGAAAAGGAGUGAUCCGCUUUGAGAUGGCCUCGCGUCCGAUUAGCUAGUUGGUGAGGUAACGGCCCACCAAGGCGACGAUCGGUAGCCGGACUGAGAGGUUGAACGGCCACAUUGGGACUGAGACACGGCCCAG
rnacentral:rRNA from 1 species